UACAGAGGUCUCAAGCGUUGUUCGGAUUCAUUGGGCGUAAAGGGUGUGUAGGUGGCGCCGUUAGUCGGGUGUGAAAUUUCGGAGCUUAACUCCGAAACUGCAUUCGAUACUGCGGUGCUUGAGGACUGGAGAGGAGACUGGAAUUCAUGGUGUAGCAGUGAAAUGCGUAGAGAUCAUGAGGAAGACCAGUGGCGAAGGCGGGUCUCUGGACAGUUCCUGACACUGAGACACGAAGGCCAGGGGAGCGAACAGG
rnacentral:rRNA from 1 species